UAUUGCACAAUGGGGGAAACCCUGAUGCAGCGACGCUGCGUGAAGGAAGAAGUAUCUCGGUAUGUAAACUUCUACCAGUAGGGAAGAUAGUGACGGUACCUGACUCAGAAGCCCAGGCUAACUACGUUCCAGCAGCCGCGGUAAUACGUAGGGGGCAAGCGUUAUCCGGAUUUACUGGGUGUAAAAGGGAGCGUAGACGGACUGGCAAGUCUGAUGUGAAAGGCGGGGGCUCAACCCCUGGACUGCAUUGGAAACUGUUAGUCUUGAGUGCCGGAGAGGUAAGCGGAAUUCCUAGUGUAGCGGUGAAAUGCGUAGAUAUUAGGAGGAACACCAGUGGCGAAGGCGGCUUACUGGACGGUAACUGACGUUGAGGCUCGAAAGCGUGGGGAGCAAACAGG
rnacentral:rRNA from 1 species